GCGUGUGUGCUCCCAUCCUAGAUGUAGAGAAUCCUGUUCUUGCCUGUUACAGUUGUUCUGAUGCUGUUCUUUUCAAUUGUUUAUUGUUAUCAUGGUUUGCUUAUGUUCCCAUAUGGCAUGAUUGAUUGAUUGUUGUUUGUUGUUUGAUUGAUUGGCUUGAGAUGGAUUGUUGUUUGUUGUUUGAUUGAUUGGCUUGAGAUGGAUUGUUGUUUGUUGUUUGAUUGAUUGGCUUGAGAUGGAUUGUUGUUUGUUGUUUGAUUGAUUGGCUUGAGAUGGAUUGUUGUUUGUUGUUUGAUUGAUUGCCUUGAGAUGGAUUGUUGUUUGCUGUUUGAUUGAUUGCCUUGAGAAGGUACAAACCAUGUAUGCCGGUUGAUUGUUGUUUGUUGCCUUGAGAUAUUACAUGUUUAUAUGACACGAUUGGUUGCUGUUUGUUCAUGGUUAUUACAAUUGAUUGAUUGUUGUUUGUUGAUUGGUAUCUAAUUUUGGUAGUGGUAGUAGGUAACAGACCUGGCGCUAUUAUUUUUCUGAACUUUUUUGUGAUUAUUAUGCCUUCACAUUGCACUGCUCCCAGAUUCAUAUCGACAUGCCCAUGCUGUCUGACGAGGAUAAAGAUGUUAUGAAAAAAUGGGAUGCUCCAAACAAGAUUGACUUCCUAUCUUUCUUAUACAAGGCAUGCAAAAGAUGUGUGGCAAUGUUCUUAUUUCAGAAGUUUGCUCUGCACAAGUGCAACAUGGCUGGAAAACCUGCUGCUAUUACUUGUGUUGUGGACAGUAUGACGGACAACCUAAGGCCUACUCGUGCAGAUGCAACUGAUGUGGCAAAUGCGGUGCUGGAUGUGAUGCCAUUCUCCUUGGUGCCGAGACUCUCCGUGGGUUGUAUCUAGUUGGGACUAUUUCAACGGUAGGCAGAAUUUGUGCUGAGGUGAACUUUCUUUUGGAGGCUGAGAAUGUCUUCAACCAGGAUUUGUACUUCAAGCGAACCAUGAAAUGCGUGGGAGAACCCAUGACCCACAUGGAGUCUAUUGCUUCCUCUGAAGCUGCUAUCAAAGUUAAGGCUUCGGUCAUCAUUUGCUUCACCUCAUCUGGACAGGAGAAAAAGAGUAUUUCUUCUUAUAGGCGCUUCACCUCAUCUUUGUAGUUUAAUGGAAAUUGAUUGAUAUAUUAUGCCGUAUCGAGUAUCUGCAGGCUAAUUGCCAAGUACAGGCCCACCGUGCCAUUCCUCGUCUAAAAACAAAUCAAUUGAAGUGGAGAUUCACAGGGGCAUUUGAAGCAAGACAAUCACUCAUAGUUAGAGGCCUCUUUCCCAUGCUUGCUGAUCCACGUCACCCGGCUGAAUCUACUAGCACUGGAAAUGAAUCAGUGUUGAAGGUUGCUCUUGACCACGGCAAAGCAUCUGGUGUGAUCAAGUCACAUGGCUUACCUUAGCCAGAAUUUCUAUAAGAAUGUCGCUCAUGUUACAUGCCUUGCUUUCUCUAGAACGAAGAUCUGGA